AUUGAACGCUGGCGGCAGGCCUAACACAUGCAAGUCGAGCGGAUGAAGGGAGCUUGCUCCUGGAUUCAGCGGCGGACGGGUGAGUAAUGCCUAGGAAUCUGCCUGGUAGUGGGGGAUAACGUCCGGAAACGGGCGCUAAUACCGCAUACGUCCUGAGGGAGAAAGUGGGGGAUCUUCGGACCUCACGCUAUCAGAUGAGCCUAGGUCGGAUUAGCUAGUUGGUGGGGUAAAGGCCUACCAAGGCGACGAUCCGUAACUGGUCUGGGAGGAUGAUCAGUCACACUGGAACUGAGACACGGUCCAGACUCCUACGGGAGGCAGCAGUGGGGAAUAUUGGACAAUGGGCGAAAGCCUGAUCCAGCCAUGCCGCGUGUGUGAAGAAGGUCUUCGGAUUGUAAAGCACUUUAAGUUGGGAGGAAGGGCAGUAAGUUAAUACCUUGCUGUUUGACGUUACCAACAGAAUAAGCACCAGCUAACUUCGUG
rnacentral:rRNA from 1 species